UUGGUCUUUUCACAUAGUCCCAUAGUUCUUGGAGGCUUUGCUCCUUUCUUUUUACUCUUUUUUCUCUAAACGUCUCUUCUCAUUUCUUAGACAAAUGGCUAACUACAAUAACCAGUGUAGAGAAGUCCUUAAAUGACCUGACGGAGCUGAAAACCAUGGUAUGAGAACUACAUGACAAAUGCACAAGCUUCAGUAGCCGAUUCAUUCAACUGGAAGAAAGGAUAUCAGUGACUGAAGAUCAAAUGAAUGAAAUGAACAAUCCUCCCCUCAUCCAUGGUUUCAUUUUCUAUGGUUCCAGUUACUCAUGGUCAACCAUGGUCAGAAAACAGGUGCUAGUUCUGUGAUAGCAGGCGAGUUCUCGUGAGAUCUCAUCAUUGAAAAGUGUGUGGCACCUCCCCCAACCUUGGUCCUGCUCCUGUAACAUGUAAGACACCUGCUCCUGCUUUGCCUUCUGCCAGGAGUAAAAGCUCCCCUAGGCCUCCUACAAGGCAGAUGCUGCCAUGCUUCUUGCACAACCUGUGGAACCAUAAGCCAAUUAAACCUCUUUUCUUCACCCAGUCUCAGGUAUUUCUUUAUAGCAAUGUGAGAACAGACUAAUACAGUAUAUAUAAAGUUUGGUACUGUCCUCAGUUUUGGGCAUCCACUGGGGGUCUUAAAAUGUAUCCCUUGAGGAUAAGGGUAAACUAUUGUGUAGUAAAAAUAUGGUCUUCAUAAUUUCUGCUGUUGGGAAUUUAUUAAGUAUCUUUCUCUACUCCAUUAUUAAUUUUCUAUAUCUUCUUUAUUGUGUCUAUUUUACCUAUUAUAGAUUAAUACUGUAAAUUCUCCUACAGAGAGUGUGUUUCUG
rnacentral:lncRNA from 10 species